GGACAGCAGUCCGGUGGACAUGCAGACGUACGAGCUGUGCUGCGACAUGAUCGACGUGGUCAUCGACAUCUCCUGCAUCUACGGAGCUAACGGGGGGGCUUCCCAUCAACUAGGCCACGUCUGGCCUGCAGGGAGUGAAUAUGUAACCCAGCCCGGCUGUGGGGGGAUGUGGAGCCGAGGGCGCCAACAGGACUCCGCCUCCAUGCUGCCAGAUGUCUGUGGAUUCGGGAUGUGAAGACGGAGAAGAAAUACCGUUUCCUCCGGUUCGUGGAGCAGCCGUCCGCCCUCGACCACCGGAGGCGGCGUUAGCGACAGGCUAAUGGGCGAACGCUAAUCACUGAGCUAGUAGAAUGUACUUUUGAAAUUCUUUUAUUUCUGCUCAAUAAAUAGUAAUAAUAAUAA